AACGAACGCUGGCGGCAUGCCUAACACAUGCAAGUCGCACGAGAAUUUGGAGCUUGCUCCAUUAGUAAAGUGGCGAACGGGUGAGUAAUACCUAGGUAACCUACCCUAAGGCGGGGGACAACCUUCCGAAAGGAGGGCUAAUACCCCAUAAGACCACGGGUUCUUCGGAUCCUGUGAUAAAAGAUGACCUCUACUUGUAAGUUAUCUCCUUUGGAUGGGCCUGGGCACCAUUAGCUUGUUGGUAGGGUAACGGCCUACCAAGGCUCCGAUGGUUAGCUGGUCUGAGAGGAUGGCCAGCCACACUGGAACUGAAACACGGUCCAGACUCCUACGGGAGGCAGCAGUGGGGAAUAUUGCGCAAUGGGGGAAACCCUGACGCAGCAAUGCCGCGUGAGUGAUGAAGGCCUUCGGGUCGUAAAGCUCUGUCA
rnacentral:rRNA from 1 species